rnacentral:rRNA from 1 species
GCGAGUGAAGCGGCAAAAGCUCAAAUUUGAAAUCUGGCACCCUCGGUGCCCGAGUUGUAAUUUGAAGAUAGUUUUCUGGCACUGGCCCUUGUCUAUGUUCCUUGGAACAGGACGUCACAGAGGGUGAGAAUCCCGUCUGGCGGGGAGUCCAGUGCUUUGUAGAUUUCUAUCGACGAGUCGAGUUGUUUGGGAAUGCAGCUCUAAGUGGGUGGUAAAUUCCAUCUAAAGCUAAAUAUUGGCGAGAGACCGAUAGCGAACAAGUACAGUGAUGGAAAGAUGAAAAGAACUUUGAAAAGAGAGUGAAAAAGUACGUGAAAUUGUUGAAAGGGAAGGGUAUUCGAUCAGACUUGGUGUUUUGUGAUUAUCUUCCCUUCUUGGGUUGUGCACUCGCAUUUCACUGGGCCAGCAUCGGUUCGGGUGGCAAGAUAAUGACAUUGGAACGUGGCACCUUCUUCGGAUGGUGUGUUAUAGCCCUUGUUGAUGUUGCCUGCCUGGACCGAGGACUGCGGCUUCUGCCUAGGAUGCUGGCGUAAUGAUCCAAUACCGCCC